CUCAUGUUGGCUGAAAUCUUGAUGCCAAUUCUGAUUUUCCAUUCAUAGAAACAGCAGUGAGCUGGAUUUCCUCUUCAACUCUGUGGUCCAGUGCCCAUUCCCUGGAGCAGCGCACUCAUUUUCCCACUGCUGAACUCAACGGCCCGAUGUCCUGGUAUUUGUGGUCCCCAGGAAAAUAACUUGCCACAUCUCUUGUGUUAUGCCCUUG
rnacentral:lncRNA from 1 species